AAAUGCCCUUGGUUGCUGAGGACAGCUCUGUCCUGUAGUGACAGAGUGACUGCCUGGCUGUGGCUCUUGGGUUCACAGAAUCCCUAAUCCUCCAAGCCCCUAAGAGGCAGGGCAGGGAUGCUACCCACAAUAUAUGCAGAACCCCAGAUGGAGCCUGUGGGAGAGAGAGGAAAUUACCGUCUUCACUGUAGGCAAAGGAGAAUGGCUGUGAUUAGCCAUAUAUGCCUAUAAGAAGGAGCAGAGCCAUACUGUCCUUGUGGGUUGGGAGAGGGGACACAGAAUCCAGGGCAAUUGUCUGAGGUCUCAAAGUAAGUUAAGCCAGAGUCAAAGCCAAACUCCAAGUCUUGGCCAAGGGGAUGAGAAAAGCAAGGAGCUAGUCUUAUAGGUCAAGGAAGAUGAGGUAUAGUUAAGAGUCAUCAGUAUCACAGAACAGGCCAGCAGGGCUUUAUUAGGUAUGUAGAACUAUUAUAAACCAAGGAUCUUGGGAGAUAUUAAUAUCUGCUGGCCAGACCUAAAAAAAACUGAAGGCCCAAGGAAAGUGACUGGACUCACUGGAAAGUAUCUAACAAAUACUUUGGAUUCCAAAGUAUUUCCAAUACCUUGAAGAUUCCUUUGAAAACAUCAAAGCACAAACUCAAAUCUGCACAAGAUUACAAAAGCACAAUUUUGGUGUUAUUUUUAGAAUGCAAUACACAAAGCUAUGUUCAUUUCUCUCAGCAAGCAUUUUCCUGGGUAGUAGUAAUAGCUUAGGAAUCAAAUGCCACUUUUGUUUUUCCUUUUUUCACUAGUUUGAAAUACCACAAAUCACAGGUGAGUCAGUCCUCCCAGAGGAAAAGACAGUCCUAGGGAGAAUCACAGGCCUGGCAGACAAGACCACACUGAGAGCAGUAGAAGGAACCUGCAUGCUUAAGGGACAGAGGACUGUGUUGUGUUCUCAUAAUAGACCGCUGGAUGAAGAAGUGGUUAAAAACCAACCCUCGAAAAACAAAAAUCCCUGGCUAAUCCUGAAAUAUAUUUAACUUGAAGUCUUUGGAUGAUUUUUUUAAGGUUAAAAAAAAGUUUAGGAUUAUUAUAAAUCAAUAUUUAUAAAUAAGCAACAAUGUAUUUGGAAUUUUUGUUUACCUGAUUAAAUAUGUUUUUGGUAUGUGU
rnacentral:lncRNA from 1 species